AAAAAAUGAAAAAAAGAGAAAAAGAGAAAAGAAAAAAAAAAAGAACAAAAAAAAGAAAAAAGAAAUGAAAAAAAGAGAAAAAAGAGAAAAGAAAAAAAAGAACAUGAACAAAAAAAGAGAAAAAAGAGAAAAGAUAAAAAAAGAAAAAAGAUAAAGAAAAGAGAAAAGAAAAAAGAAAAUAGAAAUAAAAAAGAGGACAGAAAAAUAUGAAAAAAAAGAAAAAAAAGAAAGAAAAAAAAACAGUAGAUGAAAAAAGAAAAAACAAAAGGAAAAACGAAUAAUGACAAGAGAAGAAAGGUAAAGAGAAAAGAAGAAAAAAGCCAAGUCAAAAAGUAAAGAAUAACUCGAAGGAAGGAGUGGAUGGCAAGAAAUACAGAGAAAGCAGUGCAUAGCACGCAGAGCAAAGCAAGGCAAAAUAGCAGCCAAGCCACGAGAAUCAAGAAGUCAGUGAAGAGCAGGAAAGGAAUGGAGGAAUCUGUCCAGAGCUGUGCCCCUGCUUGCCACAGGAGCUGCGCGGAGGAGAAGAACGUGGGCCAAAAGGAAUGGAGGAAUCUGUCCAGAGCUGUGCCCCUGCUUGCCACAGGAGCUGCGCGGGAGGAGAAGAACGUGGGCCAAAAGGAAUGGAGGAAUCUGUCCAGAGCUGUGCCCCUGCUUGCCACAGGAGCUGCGCGGGAGGAGAAGAACGUGGGCCAAAAGGUGUUCCACUUUGGCUUUGUAUGACACAGUGGACGAGAGGGGACGGCGUUCAGUGGAACAAACGCUGCAGACCCUGGGAGAAUCAAAGCAGGAGAGAGGAAACGUGCCCUUUGCAGCAGGGGCCGUUGUGCUGGCAUUGCCCAUCGCAUCCACUGCUGCUGUGGUCCUUUCUUUCCUUUGGGCAGUUUGCUGUCUCUCACGGGUUGUCUACAAUAGGUGUUUGUUUGUGUGUCCGUGUGAGGCUGUUGAAUAAAAUUCCUACCUCUG
ensembl:lncRNA